CCGUGAUAUUCAAUUUCAAACAACUAUUUGUCAAAUGUUAUCCUGGUUGCUUCAAGUUCAACAUACAUGAUUUUAGUGUUAAGUAUGUUCAUGUGCCAAAGCAAAACUUUAGGUAUGAUUCUGGAAUUUUUGUGAUCCAAUAUAUGAGAUGCUACAAUGGAGUUGAAGUACAACAAUUCUCAAAUGUUGACUUGCAAGCAAUUCGUGAAAAAGUCUCAUGCCAGUUAGUGAUAAACAAAUUUAAUGAGCAACAGGUGCCAAUAGCACGAGAAUUCAUUUCGAAGCAUGCUCCACAUCUUCUUCAUUGAUUAAGUUAGCAAUUUAUUUUCAAGGAGACGAGAUGAUGUAUUGAAAUUGUUGACUUGCAAGCAAUUCGUGAAAAAGUCUCAUGCCAGCUAGUGAUAAACAAAUUUAAUGAGCAACAGGUGCCAAUAGCACGAGAAUUCAUUUCGAAGCAUGCUCCACAUCUUCUUCAUUGAUUAAGUUAGCUAUUUAUUUUCAAGGAGACAGAUGAUGUAUUGAAAUUCUUUCCAGAGAAGCAUGCAGAUGAUCAUCUUUGUCAAGUUACAAGCACCGAUAUGUUCCUUUGCGAGAGGUUCUCACCAUUUGAGUUUUCAUAUAUAUCGGAUGAACAAAUUUUGAC